AACGAACGCUGGCGGCAUGCCUAAUACAUGCAAGUCGAACGGUGUAGCAAUACACAGUGGCGCACGGGUGCGUAACACGUAUGCAACCUACCUUACAUUGGGGGAUAGCCUUUCGAAAGGGAGAUUAAUACCGCAUAAGACAGUAACUAGGCAUCUAGUAGCUGUUAAAGAUUUAUCGAUGUAAGCUGGGCAUGCGCCCAAUUAGUUGGUUGGCGAGGUAAUGGCUCACCAAGACGAUGAUUGGUAGGGGAACUGAGAGGUCAAUCCCCCACACUGGCACUGAGAUACGGGCCAGACUCCUACGGGAGGCAGCAGUAGGGAAUAUUGGGCAAUGGGCGCAAGCCUGACCCAGCCAUGCCGCGUGCAGGAAGAAGGCGUUAUGCGUUGUAAACUGCUUUUAUACAGGAAGAAACGACCCUUGCGAGGGGCAUUGACGGUACUGUAUGAAUAAGCACCGGCUAACUCCGUGCCAGCAGCCGCAGUAAUAC
rnacentral:rRNA from 1 species